rnacentral:rRNA from 1 species
AUUGAACGCUGGCGGCAGGCUUAACACAUGCAAGUCGAACGAGUGGCGGACGGGUGAGUAAUGCUUGGGAAUCUAGCUUAUGGAGGGGGAUAACUACGGGACACUGUGGCUAAUACCGCAUACCAUCAGAUGGACCCAUAUGGGAUUAGCUUGUAGGUGAGGUAACGGCUCACCUAGGCGACGAUCCCUAGCUGGUCUGAGAGGAUGAUCAGCCACACUGGGACUGAGACACGGUCCAGACUCCUACGGGAGGCAGCAGUGGGGAAUAUUGCGCAAUGGGGGCAACCCUGACACAGCCAUGCCGCGGGAAUGAAGAAGGCCUUCGGGUUGUAAAGUUCUUUAAGUAGCGAGGCGUUAACAACAGAAGAAGCACCGGCUAACUCCGUGCCAGCAGCCGCGGUAAUUC